AUUUCACUUGAUCAAUAGGUUUAUUUAUUGUGAAACAGAAAAUAAAUUUGAACAUUUUUAAAAAUUUCAUUUAGGAAUAAUAACACAGAAGUAAAUAAAGUUUUUUUUUUGUAAUUAAUAAUCUAGAUUUAAAUUUUAGUUUUAAUGACAUUCAUGUGGUCUGUUUUUUUUUUUUUUGUCUAAAAUCUAGAUUUAGAAUACUUUAAAACAUUUAGUUUACUUUGUACCACAGAUGAAGCUUUUUAUCACAGACGUUAGAUUCUUCUUGAAAACAAAGUAUGGAGUUAGAUGCAAAUUCUAAAAAGAAAUAAGUCUGAUAUGUAAAGCAGUUUUGUCCAAAACAAUUUUUGAACUUUGUUAUAUUUCUAAAUUUUAAAAAGUGCUUCAAGAUAAUACUUACUGUAUUAGAGGGGAGGGAAUAAUUUAAAAAAUAAGAAUUGUCCAUGUCUAUUUCAAUGGAUUAAAUAAAUUAAUAUACUCUAUUGUCUAUCUUUAAAAUGGUGAUUAAGUUCUGUGUCUGCUUGUUUUAAAUAAAACAAAAAACAUCUGAUUGUAUUUUAAUAAAUGUGCGUUAGUUUUAAAAGACCAAUAUAAUUUGUAGACCUUAGAAUACCAAUGUCAAAAUUAGUGCACAUUAAAUGUGAAUAUAUUUUUAUAUCAUUUGCUACAUUUGUUGAAGAAACUAUAUUGAUGUAAUGGAUAAAUGAGGAGCUUUAGAACAGCCUAUUAGUAAUUAUAAAUGACCUUUGUUUGUCACCUAUAAAGAUGAACACAACACUUUAUUUUCUGUUUUCAAAUUGCUUAACACCCUUAAGCCUGUUCUACAUAGAUUUAAUACAAACUACUAGUCAACUUAGUUUUUACAUCUUGUUCAGUACUUAAAAGGAUGCUGGAAAAAAAAAGUAAUUGUGUAUUUGAUGAAGUAGACAAUUAGAAGGGAACCUAAUUAGAAAAUCUCACUGAACCGGGCAAUUAACUGAUUCAAUUAAUCAUUGGGUUUUACAACUCAGCAACAACAUAUUUACAUCACAAAAUCACUGAUUUCUGGGUUUUUUCAUAAACAAGAUGUCUUAGAAUCAAAACAAAAAAAAAUGAAUGACAGUAACACUGAUCAAUAUUUCACCAUGACAGUCUAAUCUAACACUGAAACAUAGAGACAAGACAUUAGUUCACCAAGACUUCUAAAACAUAACACAUUUGUAUAACAUUUGCCAUUGAUAGUAAACGGAAGUAAAGUCAAUUAAAGUAGACAUGAUGACAACCUUGACCUGGUGACCCCAGACCAUCUAUCUGCCUAAAUUUUUAUUGCUGGUGGUAACAGAAAAUGACUUUAGUUUCUAACAAAAUAUGGAGGGGGAAAAAAAGUAAAAUCAAGGAAAUAUUCAAUUUAGUGUUUUUGAAAAGUGAAAGUAUGUUUGGGUGGGAUUAUGAUAAAAGAAGAAAGAUAUAUUAGAAUGUAACUAUUGUGUAUGUGUUUGAU